UACGUAGGGGGCAAGCGUUGUCCGGAUUUAUUGGGCGUAAAGAGCGUGUAGGCGGCCAGGUAGGUCUGCUGUGAAAACUCGAGGCUUAACCUCGAGCUGUCGGCGGAAACCAUCUGGCUAGAGUCCGGAAGAGGAGAAUGGAAUUCCCGGUGUAGCGGUGAAAUGCGCAGAUAUCGGGAAGAACACCCGUGGCGAAGGCGGUUCUCUGGGACGGUACUGGACGCUGGAGACGCGAAAGCGUGGGGAGCGAACAGG
rnacentral:rRNA from 1 species